GCCGGACGCGGUGGCGCGCGCCUGUAGUCCCAGCUACUCGGGAGGCUGAGACGGGAGGAUCGCUUGAGCCCAGGAGUUCUGGGCUGUAGUGCGCUAUGCCGAUCGGGUGUCCGCACUAAGUUCGGCAUCAAUAUGGUGACCUCCCGGGAGCGGGGGACCACCAGGUUGCCUAAGGAGGGGUGAACCGGCCCAGGUCGGAAACGGAGCAGGUCAAAACUCCCGUGCUGAUCAGUAGUGGGAUCGCGCCUGUGAAUAGCCACUGCACUCCAGCCUGGGCAACAUAGCGAGACCCCGUCUCU
rnacentral:SRP_RNA from 1 species